rfam:Streptococcus uberis 0140J complete genome
UGAGAAAAGUAGAAGUGAGAGCUUCUCGCCUUGCGACUUAGGUUGUCUGGCCCAACAUGUCAAAAUCCAAUUUGGAUAUUUAUGUGUGCGGGCUUGAUUUAUCAAGUCCGCUUUCGUUUUUCUCU